UCCCACCAGUAAUCUUUUCUCAAUUCGGCUAUUCCGUACCAUUGGUAUGUAUGAAAUUAGGGUAAGUACAAAUACCACCCCAAGGUUUAAGCAACAUCAACAGACACCUCUCAACUCAGCAAUAACUUUUGGUAUGAUAAUUGGAGCAUGUUAAGACAUUACAUUUUUAAACCGGGCUCCCAUAAGAAUGGCCAGGACCUCGUGUAGGGCUGAACAAAAUGGCGCCUCAUCUGACAAGUUAAGGACAAACAGGCAGACAAAAAAAACCCCACAUGACCGAAACACACAACCUCAUUUGUUUGAGCAUACUCCAUGGAUUGGAAGAUGUUCCAUGUGUAUCGUCUCCUCAUCUCCAUGCGAGCCACAUACUGCCUGUACCAGCGCUGA